rnacentral:lncRNA from 1 species
CGUUAGUUUUUCCAUGAAUGACUACAUAGUAUUUAAAACGAGGCCUAUUUUUUUCUGCCAUGUAAUGGCAUAAAGAAUUCAUAGAUGCCAUAAAAUGAUUACGGUUUUGUCUAUUAUAAGAGAUCCAGAGGUUAUCUACUAAACACCUUUGGGGUCUGUCUAAAACGUAAUCUGGUUUUAAUCUAAAGGAUAUAUUGCUCUCAG